AUUGCUUCAAUGUCUGGUUGAACUUCAACACCAAUACUUCUUAUUGCUGGUUCAAGUGCAGCUUUUCUUUUCUAAUCAACUCCCUUUAAGUCCCAAUUCCAGCAAGAAUUCUCAUCAAAAUGCACAUCUCUGCUGAUCUGAAUUUUAGCUGCGUUCAGAUUGUAUAUUCUGUAACCUUUUGAUUCUGUCACAUAUCCCACAAGAAUUCCUUUCUCUGUUCUUUCAUCUAGUUUCCUUCUUUUAGCAGAUGAC